rnacentral:rRNA from 1 species
GAUGAACGCUGGCGGCGUGCUUAACACAUGCAAGUCGAACGAUGAAGCCCAGCUUGCUGGGUGGAUUAGUGGCGAACGGGUGAGUAACACGUGAGUAACCUGCCCUUAACCCUGGGAUAAGCCUGGGAAACUGGGUCUAAUACCGGAUAGGAGCGUCCACCGCAUGGUGGGUGUUGGAAAGAUUUAUCGGUUUUGGAUGGACUCGCGGCCUAUCAGCUUGUUGGUGAGGUAAUGGCUCACCAAGGCGACGACGGGUAGCCGGCCUGAGAGGGUGACCGGCCACACUGGGACUGAGACACGGCCCAGACUCCUACGGGAGGCGGCAGUGGGGAAUAUUGCACAAUGGGCGCAAGCCUGAUGCAGCGACGCCGCGUGAGGGAUGACGGCCUUCGGGUUGUAAACCUCUUUCAGUAGGGAAGAAGCGAAAGUGACGGUACCUGCAGAAGAAGCACCGGCUAACUACGUG